CUUUGGCCGAGCGGUUAAGGCGCUGCCCUGCUAAGGCAGUGCUCUCAGAGCGCGUGGGUUCGAGUCCCACAGG
rnacentral:ncRNA from 14 species